rnacentral:rRNA from 1 species
GAUGAACGCUGGCGGCAUGCCUUACACAUGCAAGUCGAGCGGCAGCGCGGGCAACCUGGCGGCGAGCGGCGAACGGGUGAGUAAUACAUCGGAACGUGCCCAGACGUGGGGGAUAACUACUCGAAAGAGUGGCUAAUACCGCAUACGAUCUACGGAUGAAAGCGGGGGAUCGCAAGACCUCGCGCGUCUGGAGCGGCUGAUGGCAGAUUAGGUAGUUGGUGGGAUAAAAGCCUACCAAGCCAACGAUCUGUAGCUGGUCUGAGAGGAUGAUCAGCCACACUGGGACUGAGACACGGCCCAGACUCCUACGGGAGGCAGCAGUGGGGAAUUUUGGACAAUGGGCGAAAGCCUGAUCCAGCCAUUCCGCGUGCAGGAUGAAGGCCUCGGGUUGUAAACUGCUUUGUACAGAACGAAAAAGACUCUGGCUAAUACCUGGAGUCCAUGACGGUACUGUAAGAAUAAAGCACCGGCUAACUACGU